GGUUGAUUUCUUUCUGAUCUCAUUCUUCAUGCUGUUUUGUCUCCCUACCUUUGCAACAACUCCUUUAAUGGCCUAAUUUUCAGUUUUUUGGGCUGAAAAUAGGUCUAUGCAAGCGACUUAAAGUUGAAAGGGUGUGUUUACAUUGAUCCUUCUUUGAAAAAAGUGUUUGAAAACACCCUGAAGGCUAAAGUUGUCGCUGCUACUAUUAACAUACAACUGCCAUUGUCUUCUGUCAUCAAUAAUUGAGGACCGUUGACAUAAUUAGAGUUCAAGAUCUUCAGUUGAAGUUUGUUUUAUUACGAUAGUAAUUGAGGCUGGAAGUGAUCUGGAAGCAAGAUUUUGUAUGUUCUUCGAACAUGGUGAGGGAAUGUGGUGUGACAAUAAGCCUUGAAGUAAGAGAAGCUACCAGCUAUGCUUGUCAUCAAGAUUGUUAUGUGUAGGUUGUGCUUGGAAGACCCUGAAAAGUAUUAAGGUGAGCAUGUGGUUUUCUGGAUUGGAUUUGCAGCUUGGUUAACGGGAGAAAUAUUUUCUUGUCAAAAUAUCUUUUUCUAGGUGAUACUUAUUCUUGUCAAAGCAUUUGAUGUACUGAGAUGAUGUAAACCAUACCAAGCGCAUGUAAGUAUGCAUAACAUUAGCUCUUGAAAAUUUAGACCAUUUCAGAACACGAUUAAUUUGGUGCUCACAUGAGAGAAAUAAAGAGAACUAGCGGUCCUCAUAUUUAGCAUCUUGCUUUUUCCUGAAAUUCAUGAUGUUCAUUCUGUUGAGAAGUUUAGAAGAUUCAAAUCUAUUUGUUUGGACUCGGUUCUGAUUCAAGUUUAUUCAUGAUUGACUUGAUUUGUCUAUCUCUUGUA